rnacentral:lncRNA from 1 species
CGGAAGGGAAGACCACAUUGGUGGUCUCGGAGGUUCCAGGGAAGGUGACCCUUGGAGGGGCAAUGCUCGCCCCACAUGGAAAUUCACACUCCAGCCAAAACGCAGCUGACAGUGAGGAUGUUUUCCGCUGAGAGGAGCCAUAAUUAGACCUAAACAUUAACAGCAAAUCCAGGACCAUCCCUCACCAAGUAGGAGAAUAAGGGAGUCUAGGCUGUAAUCGGGCCUGAUUUCCCAAAGGAACAUAUAUGUUUUCUUAACCUUAUCCAACAGUAUUUUAUGAUUCUAGGCCCUUGAUUGGGGCCUAUACAGGACCAGCUACUCCCAGAAAACGAACAGAAAAGAGAACAUUUUCCGAGUGUGCUCUUUCCUCCUCUUGGCUUCUGUGUCUGUGUUAUUCCCAGGCAGAGGGUAGGAUCCAUCGGAUUUUCCAUAUUCCUAGGCCAGUUUUGAAAGCUCCUCCCCAGAUGCUGAGACCACAUUUCCCGUGCAGGAGGAGGUGGAUGGGGAGAGUUUGCAUCUGGGAGUAUAAUUCAGAUGACUUUUAUCAUCAGUACAUGUCACAAGAAAACAUUUAAAAUGACACUGAAACAAUCAUUGAAAUCAUGGUGCAUGGAGGAAAAAGGUAAAGAAAACAACUUUUGGCUUGUUUUGGCAUGAGACCUUGAUACAAUUUGGGUUCCCCAAAACCAUGUGAAGGGUGGUAAAAUAGAAAUGCUCAAAACUGACUUAAAAAAAUAAACAGGCUUUACAAAAACCCUCUUUUUUCUUAACCCAGCCACUUCUCGACAUGGUCUGCACAUACAGUAGAUACAUUCAUUAUUGUCCAAGGGAAGACAGUAACUGCCUUUCAUUUUAAAGAGCUUGGUGGAGAGGCUGAAGAAAUGUGCUGCAGCUGAAGGAGGCCUCAGCUCCUGAAGCUCUGAAUUUACAGUACACAGUAGCAGACGGCUUGCCCUUUGGAAGGCUCCAUGGAAAGAAGGCUCAUCCCUGACUUGGGGCAACUUGACCGAAGUUUCUACUCUCCAGAAUCUCUUUUCUGUGGUCACCCGACUGGCAAGUGGAAGAUGGAAGCACCAAGGUUCCUGCAAAAGAUAGAUCAAGACCUUUGCUAUCAACCUUUCAGCCCAUCCCAAUGGCCUUGAAUGGCACGUGUCCUGGAAAACCAGGUCUGCUGCCUGUACGCCCGAGCGAAACCUAUGCUCAGCUGGAGAAGAGGACAGCCUUUCAGGGUUCAUGAAUGUUCUCCCUAGAACAGAUGGAAUGGCAGCUACAAUGCCCUUGGGAAUGUGAGGUCCUGGUGGAGUCUCUGGGGAAGUGAAAGAAGCUCCUUUAACUUGACUCCACUCACAGGACAAAGUGCAGGAGACAGAACAGAAUGGAUAGAAGAGGCUUCUCCUUUCUUCUUGCUCUAGAGUGAAGGAGAUGGACAGUUACCUUGAAAUGCUACGGGAAGGAUGAGCAUGGAGAGCUGCCUGUUAUUCUGAGCCAACUUCUGGCAAGAUGCUGGGUGAAUCGACUGCCUAGAAUUGAAGAACUGGCUCUCAAGCAGUUGCUGCUAAAGAAUGCCAGCAAACAAACCACACACAACUGUGGUAAGCCAGGCGGAAAUCCCUCCACCCUCUGGCAUGAGAUGGCAGUCUAGAAAGGACUCUCCAUGAGAUGCCUGGGGCCUGAGGAAGCAGAGGCAUGGACACACUGUUCUACGAUGACUCAGGGCCACCCAUGAGUGGGACAUUCGUGGGGAUGAGAUGGGAGCAGGGAGAAGCAGCAGUUGUAAUGGCCAGCCACGUGGGGACCAGUUCCGUGCCUGGCCUUUCUUUCUCUGGUGGAAGCCAUCUUGUUUUGAUCCUAAGAAAAAUGGGUGUCAUUUUAUCCAGGAAUCUAAGAAUUAUAAUAAUAAAUUAAUAAAGUGAAUGUGAUAAUCAAACUGUGAGGAUACGAACAACAUAAGAUUUAAUGAUCGUUGUCAAAACCAGUCCGUAGGGCUGUGGAACUUUAUCGUACAAUUCGACUUUGAUAUGUGUUUAAAUAUAUUUUCUAAGUUAUCCACAACCCAAAACAGGACCCCUUAGAGGUAAUCUAGAGGAAUCCCUCACGUUACAGACAGAGCCACUGGUUAAGGGUCUAGAGUCACACAGGGAGUUACUGCAGAAUCACUACUGGAACCCUGUGCUCUUUCUGCAGGGAUUCGGAUAUUUUGGUUGGAUUUGCAUUCUUACGUCAAUGUAUGUUCUCCAACUCUGCUCUUACAUAUUGAAAGGCAGGCAGCUAUUUUUAAACACCCUGCCUAUUAGCCUUCGGAACAUAAUAAUAAUGGCAAGCACCCUUUAUUGCUUCACCGAGCUGCAGACACCCUUCUAGGGUGUGAACAGAGCUCAGUAAAGAUAGCAGCCUCAGGUCUGUGUGUUGCUUUGAGCCACGAGCUGGUCUGCAGGCAGCAGCCAUGGGCCGUGCCUGUGUUGGUAUGUUUAAGAACAUUGGCGAAUACAGGAAUUACAUGGACUAGGUUUAGAAAACAAACAGUAACGUACAAAAAGGAAGGUUUGAUAUGGACUGCAAGGACAUAAAGCAGGUGCACAUGCGUGCACUACCAGAAUAGCUACACGGUGGGAAGGAAUUCCAGAACCACGUGAGAAAGAGUUGUUAGGACAAUGCAGUCGUGAAAUACCAUGUUUCCAACCCUAUCACUCUAUUUUAAAAUAGAUAAUAAUUAUAAUUUUUAUUAAUAUCAAACAAAUUAGCUUUGGGACCUAUGGCCCUAACUUAGGGGUCACGGCUGCAGUCCCCUUUCUUGCAGACCUGGCAGGCUGCGCAGAUAACUGCCCCCAGCGUUGGCCAACUCUGGACGCUCUCUUCUCCCAUAAAGACACCAGAGAGUGCUCUUCAGCCCCCGUGUUUCAAAGGGAGAACCCAAACCCACCCUAACUUCUGGCAAGACAAAUCACUUAUUAUAGCUGCUCACCUCUUCACAGAGUACCCACCUCCAGGAAAGGUCACUAAAGGUCCUGCCUGGGCCCCUGGCGUGGCACAGGGUCAUGGUCAGUCUUCUCUGGAGCCUGAGUCAGGGCCUGGUGGGGAAAGGCGGUGUCACUUAUAAGGGAGUGGGGAGGUGAGAGCUGGAAAGGGCUGGAAUGGCACCUUUUUAAAGGAAUAAAGCCCUUUAAAGAUCUUCAACUCAGGGACUUGGUCUCUUUGAGAAACAGCACCAUAAUCUAAUUGGAAUAAAAAAAGGAUCUAUUUAAUUAGAAAGAGACUGUUAGGAACUGGAAGCUGGGGAAAGGAGUAGGGACUCACUGGGCCCUUCUCAGGGAUAACAAAGAAUCAAGGGCCUCAGUAGCAAAUUACAGAGUUUAUUUUGAAAAUUCAAAUAAAACCACAAAAAUUCAAAUAAAAACACAUUCUAGACUAUAUCUUUGUAAGCUUUGGGGGACAAACCUCAAAGAGUCCUCCCAAAGGAAAACGCACCAGCUAAGCCAGGUGCCUCCAGGCUCGUAUAAAGGGGAAGGUGAGGUCAGGAGGCCAACAGCCAUUUUUUAGAAGAAUGACACCGCAAGACGUUCCUGGUCUACUAUUUCGCAUGAGGAAAACACGCUUUGGCUUCUGGUGGCUCAAUUGAGAUAAAAGCAGAGAGAGGUACAAUAAAAGGAAUUCAUAACAAACAUUAUGAACACCUGCUUGGAUUAAAAAGUUGACGGUUUCCUGAAACGGGCUCUGCUAAAAGGGACUUCCUGGAGAAAUCAGAUGCCUCUGGAAUGGAAGACGUCCAGGAAAGUUGGGAUGGCUGAACAACAGGU